UAAUACAGAGGAGCCAAGCGUUGUCCGGAUUGACUGGGCGUAAAGCGCACGCAGGCGGUCGCGCGCGUGGGGUGUGAAAUCUGGCCGCUUAACGGCCAGGCGCCAUCCCAUACGGCGCAACUGGAGUGAUGCAGAGGUCGGUGGAAUUGCCGGUGUAGUGGUGAAAUGCGUAGAGAUCGGCAGGAACACCCAGGGGGAAACCAGCCGACUGGGCAUCUACUGACGCUGAGGUGCGAGAGCGUGGGGAGCGAACCGGAUUAGAUACCCGGGUAGUCCACGCCGUAAACGAUGGCCACUCGGCCUUUGGAGGCGGAAUCUCCGUCUUUGGGGGCCUUAGCUAACGCGGGAAGUGGCCCGCCUGGGAACUACGAGCGCAAGCUUA
rnacentral:rRNA from 1 species